GAAGGCAGCAGGCACGCAAAUUACCCACUCCCAGCCCGGGGAGGUAGUGACGAAAAAUAACGAUGCGAGACUCUUCCGAGGCCUCGCAAUCGGAAUGAGUUCAUUUUAAAACUUUGGACGAGGAUCCAUUGGAGGGCAAGUCUGGUGCCAGCAGCCGCGGUAAUUCCAGCUCCAAUAGCGUAUAUUAAAGUUGCUGCGGUUAAAAAGCUCGUAGUUGGAUCUCCUAGAUCCAUUUUAGUGAUCGAGUCGCUCGUUGAGCUAGCGUCCUUCGUCUGGUCGCCGGAACUAAGGUGUCGGGAUUCCCCUCUCGCGUCGAUCCGUUUCUCCGGCUUCGGUUGGAGCGAGCGGCGGCGUGGGUGUCGGUGGGCCUCUCCUAUUUCGGAGGACGGUCGGUCGUUGUCUUCGAGUAUAGCUCUUUCGCUUGUGGUACAAUUAAAAUUUUGUCGGCUCGCUCGGAGUGCUCUUUACCGAGUGUUCCAGGGUGGCCGACACGUUCACUUUGAAAAAAUUAGAGUGCUUAAAGCGGGCGCAUACGCUGCCUGAAUGUCUGUGCAUGGAAUGAAGUAACAGGACCUCGAUUCUGUUGUUUUUGUCGGUUUUAUUGAACCGAGGUAAUGAUUAAAAGGGACAGACGGUGGCAUUAGUAUUGCGGCGCUAGAGGUGAAAUUCUUGGACCGCUGCAAGACUAACUACUGCGAAAGCAUUUGCCGAGAAUGUUUUCAUUAAUCAAGAACGAAAGUUAGAGGAUCGAAGGCGAUCAGAUACCGCCCUAGUUCUAACCCUAAACUAUGCUAACUAGCGAUCCGCCGGAGUCAUUCCCACGACCCGGCGGGAAGCCCCAGGGAAACCAAAGUUUUUGAGUUCCGGGGGAAGUAUGGUUGCAAAGCUGAAACUUAAAGGAAUUGACGGAAGGGCACCACCAGGAGUGGAGCCUGCGGCUUAAUUUGACUCAACACGGGAAACCUCACCAGGCCCGGACAUCAUAAGGAUUGACAGGUUGAGAGCUCUUUCUCGAUUUGAUGGGUGGUGGUGCAUGGCCGUUCUUAGUUGGUGGAGUGAUCUGUCUGGUUGAUUCCGAUAACGAACGAGACUCUACCCUACUAACUAGUCGGCGGAUCGUAACCCUGAGAUGGUUAGUUUGUAUAGGUUGGUUUGUCCGAGUCGCGAGCGGUAGCUUUUGUUGCGUUAGUGUUAAGGGUUCUUCAGACGUUCCUUCGCGGGGCGCCUGGCCCCUUUCUCUAUCGUGUCGGGUUAUUUAGCGAGCGGCGAAGCUUCCUUCUGAUUACUGCUACUGCUGGGGGCGUCCGUCGCAAUGCAUCUUCUUAGAGGGAUCAGCGGCGUAUAGCCGCACGAGAAAGAGCAAUAACAGGUCUGUGAUGCCCUUAGAUGUUCUGGGCCGCACGCGCGCUACAAUGUAGAGAUCAGCGUGCUUUUCCCCUUCCGAAAGGAACGGGUAACCCGUUGAAACCCCUACCCGAUUGGGAUUGGGGAUUGCAAAUAUUUCCCAUAAACGAGGAAUUCCCAGUAAGCGCGAGUCACUAACUCGCGCUGAUUACGUCCCUGCCCUUUGUACACACCGCCCGUCGCUACUACCGAUUGAAUGAUUCAGUGAGGGCAUCGGACUGGCGCC
rnacentral:rRNA from 1 species